ACACUCUUAGCACCCUACAAGCAGGUAUGUGCUUACCAGCAAACUAAAGCAAAUGGAAAUUAAGAAGCAUGAUCACCACCAGCAAGGUGCUGCUGAACUAUAAGGCUUCAAGACUUAAAAAGGAUUCAAAAGACACCAAAGGUUCACUUUUGGCUAAAAGCUAAAUGUGAACCUUUCAAAAUGAACUCAUUGCUGUCUUCCUCUCAAAAGGCCUUCAGAUGGUCAGAUAAAGUACCUGAUGCUGAAAAACAGGAAAUUGAAUCAUGUCUCCAAAAUGUGCCUUUUGUCAUGCACUGUUACAGCUAUAUUUCUUGUAACUACAUUCAGCCUCCAGCCAAGAUAAAGAAUUAUGUGAUACAUACUUCAUCUUCCAUCACUGCUUUCAAAAGAUGUGAAUUCUGCAAACCAGACAGAAGAGGGAGCUAUCCAUCUGGAAAUUAACCAAUCCUUUCAAAAACAUGUCAAAUAAAUAUAGAAG
rnacentral:lncRNA from 1 species